GGUGGCUCAGUGGUAGUAGAGUGCUUGCUUCAAAUGCAUGAGGCCCUGAGUUCCAUUCCUCAGCACCA
rnacentral:tRNA from 1 species